rnacentral:rRNA from 1 species
GACGAAGGGGGCUAGCGUUGUUCGAAAUUACUGGGCGUAAAGCGCGUGUAGGCGGUUAUCCAAGUUGGGUGUGAAAGCCUUGAGCUCAACUCAAGAAAUGCACUCAGUACUGGGUGACUAGAGGACCGGAGAGGAUAGUGGAAUUCCUAGUGUAGAGGUGAAAUUCGUAGAUAUUAGGAAGAACACCGGUGGCGAAGGCGACUUUCUGGCUCGUAACUGACGCUGAGGCGCGAAAGCGUGGGGAGCAAACGGGAUUAGAAACCCCUGUAGU